UAUGAUUUGAUUAUUACUAUUUGUGAGUGUGGUUAAUGCCCAUGGUUUUUUAUAACGGUUUUUUUUUUUCUUUUUUGUUUUGGAGUUUUUUCACAUUGGUAGUGCCAUUAUUUAAUAACGGCUUAUGGGAAUUGAAGUUUUUGUCUUUUACUUCUAAAAGAUUGAAACUUGUUGUGUUUUAGAGGGAUUUUGAUAUUUUCAUGCGAAAUUCAAU
rnacentral:lncRNA from 1 species